UUCCCCACCGACCCCGUUCUGUCAGUUUAAUUCUGUUCACUUUGUUCACUGGGAGGAUUAAGCUCCAGGGCCAGGGUGAGUCUCAGCUGGAGGUGGAAGGUGUCUCGGCCCCAAACGACUGAACAUUCUUCUAAUUAGGAUCAAUUUUGGAACACACAGUUUCAGCAGCAAAGAAAAGAAGAGUUCCAGACAUGUCAUCCAAUUGUGUAACUUCUAUAUCACCUUGGCAACCUGAUAAGAGACCUGGACCUAUCACAGAAGACACCUCCAACUUCUCUAUCAAAUUCAUCAGCACACCUACAAGUUCUACUUAAGCAUCCAAUAGGAGGACAAGAUUACCACAUUGAGGUCCUGGAUGUACCUGCUUGAAAACAAUCAUGCCAAGACAUAGAAGAAAACUGGACACCAACAGGAAUCCAGAGCAGCUGCUGAAUGUGGAAAUAAAAGAGGACCUAUGCAAACAGGGAGAGAAGAAUAAGUACACAUGCCAAGACACUGUGAAGAACAGUUGUGAAAAAUAGGACAAUAGACAUUUGAAAAAUCUGUGUUUAAGACAGCCAGCCUGGGUGCAGUGUAUGUACAGGAGGUAAGAUUACUUUUGUUGAAUGGAGGCUUCUCGAAGAUGAAGAUUCCACAGGACGGCAUCAAAACCCAACUGAAGAACUGCAAGUGUCAAAUGCAUCUGUGCAAUAAAGAGCCAACUCACUUUCUCACCGUGUGGA